CAGUCGCCGCGGGAAUACGGAGGGUGCAAGCGUUAAUCGGAAUUACUGGGCGUAAAGCGCACGCAGGCGGUCUGACAAGUCAGAUGUGAAAUCCCCGGGCUUAACCUGGGAACUGCAUUUGAAACUGUCAGGCUGGAGUCUUGUAGAGGGGGGUAGAAUUCCAGGUGUAGCGGUGAAAUGCGUAGAGAUCUGGAGGAAUACCGGUGGCGAAGGCGGCCCCCUGGACAAAGACUGACGCUCAGGUGCGAAAGCGUGGGGAGCAAACAGGAUUAGAUACCCCUGAGUCCCUGUCUCUUAUACA
rnacentral:rRNA from 1 species